rnacentral:rRNA from 1 species
AGAGUUUGAUCCUGGCUCAGAUUGAACGCUGGCGGCAUGCUUUACACAUGCAAGUCGAACGGCAGCGCGGGCUUCGGCCUGGCGGCGAGUGGCGAACGGGUGAGUAAUGCAUCGGAACGCGCCCAGUAGUGGGGGAUAGCUCGGCGAAAGCCGGAUUAAUACCGCAUACGACCUGGGGGUGAAAGCGGGGGAUCUUCGGACCUCGCGCUAUUGGAGCGGCCGAUGGCAGAUUAGCUAGUUGGUGGGGUAAAGGCCUACCAAGGCGACGAUCUGUAGCUGGUCUGAGAGGACGACCAGCCACACUGGGACUGAGACACGGCCCAGACUCCUACGGGAGGCAGCAGUGGGGAAUUUUGGACAAUGGGCGAAAGCCUGAUCCAGCAAUGCCGCGUGUGUGAUGAAGGCCUUCGGGUUGUAAAGCACUUUUGGCGGGAACGAAAAGGACUGUGCCAAUACCACGGUUCGAUGACGGUACCCGCAGAAUAAGCACCGGCUAACUACGUGCCAGCAGCCGCGGUAAU